ACCUGGCAUAGCUCGGCUGGUAAGAGCAUGAGACUCUUAAUCUCAUGGUCACGGGUUCAAAUCUCACAUUGGGUU